rnacentral:rRNA from 1 species
GACGAACGCUGGCGGCGUGCUUAACACAUGCAAGUCGAACGGAAAGGCCCUGCUUUUGUGGGGUGCUCGAGUGGCGAACGGGUGAGUAACACGUGAGUAACCUGCCCUUAACUUUGGGAUAACUUCAGGAAACUGGGGCUAAUACCGGAUAGGAGCUCCUGCUGCAUGGUGGGGGUUGGAAAGUUUCGGCGGUUGGGGAUGGACUCGCGGCUUAUCAGCUUGUUGGUUGGGUAGUGGCUUACCAAGGCUUUGACGGGUAGCCGGCCUGAGAGGGUGACCGGCCACAUUGGGACUGAGAUACGGCCCAGACUCCUACGGGAGGCAGCAGUGGGGAAUAUUGCACAAUGGGCGGAAGCCUGAUGCAGCAACGCCGCGUGCGGGAUGACGGCCUUCGGGUUGUAAACCGCUUUCGCCUGUGACGAAGCGUGAGUGACGGUAAUGGGUAAAGAAGCACCGGCUAACUACGUG